AUUGUCGACCGUGGUUCCGGGCCAAGUCCCUUGGAAAAGGGCAGCUGAGAGGGUGAAACUCCCGUUCUUGCCUGGGAUUUGCGUGUCAUGGCACGUGUUCUCAAAGAGUCGAGUUGCUUGGGAUUGCAGCUCAAAGUGGGUGGUAAAUUCCAUCUAAAGCUAAAUAUUGGUGGGAGACCGAUAGCGCACAAGUACCGUGAGGGAAAGAUGCAAAGAACUUUGAAAAGAGAGUUAAAGAGUACCUGAAAUUGCUGAAAGGGAAGCAAAGGAAACCAGUGCGUUGUGCGUGUCAUAUUUCUCCUGCUGCUUGCGGUGGGGGCGCUGUGGCCGUGCGUAGCGUCAGCAUCGGUUCGUACUUCGGAGCAAACGGUGUGGCUGGAGGUUAUUCCAUUACGGGAUGAAUGACAGCCGCUCUAAGUUCUGGAGGGGACCGAGGUUAGUCACAUGCUCGUGAUGCUGGCUAAAUGGUUUUCUUUACCCCGUCUUGUAACACGGACCAAGGAGUCUAA
rnacentral:rRNA from 9 species